rnacentral:rRNA from 1 species
GAUGAACGCUGGCGGCGUGCCUAAUACAUGCAAGUCGAGCGAACAGAUGAGGAGCUUGCUCCUCUGACGUUAGCGGCGGACGGGUGAGUAACACGUGGAUAACCUACCUAUAAGACUGGGAUAACUUCGGGAAACCGGAGCUAAUACCGGAUAAUAUAUUGAACCGCAUGGUUCAAUAGUGAAAGACGGUUUUGCUGUCACUUAUAGAUGGAUCCGCGCCGCAUUAGCUAGUUGGUAAGGUAACGGCUUACCAAGGCAACGAUGCGUAGCCGACCUGAGAGGGGGAUCGGCCACACUGGAAGUGAGACACGGUCCAGACUCCUAAGGGAGGCAGCAGUAGGGAAUCUUCCGCAAUGGGCGAAAGCCUGACGGAGCAACGCCGCGUGAGUGAUGAAGGUCUUCGGAUCGUAAAACCCUGUUAUUAGGGAAGAACAAAUGUGUAAGUAACUAUGCACGUCUUGACGGUACCUAAUCAGAAAGCCACGGCUAACUACGUG